rnacentral:lncRNA from 1 species
UAGCUUCUGAAUGAAGGAGAAGAAAAAGGGGCUAACAAAAACCUGGUUGGCAACAAAUUGAAUGACUUGUUCUGCAGUGAGUUCAGAUGCAGUUGCUCUUACCACAUAUGCCAUAGGUAUUUGUCCUGUCUCUUCAUCUUCAAUUCUGCAAAAUCUUAUUUGCUAGUAACUUCUUAAAAAAGAGAAUAGUUGUAGUGAAAUGUUGUAUACUAGCGUUAGACUGAAUUUCGAGUUCAUGAAGUUCAAAUUUGGUGAAGUUUUAGUCAGGGUAAUACAAAAAUGUUGCAUCGUAUAGCACAUACUGACAAUACCCUAAUAUGUUAUUAACCAUUGCAACUGUGUUACACACAUGUACAACAUUUUUAUAUAGCCUUGACAAAAAAUUUAACCAAUUUCGAAAUUAGUGUAUAAUAUCUUUGACCCCUUGUAGUAAGGUGCUAACUCUAAGCUAGGGAGAGUUCACAUACGGAAUAACUGCUGAAUCAAGUAUCUGGGGAUGACUCAGAAGUAUGGCUUCCAAUUCUGCCGGAGCCACCUGCAAUUGCAUAACAUAAUCAUUUACAUUAGAUUGAUUCCUUAACACAAUAUCUUAGAAUCACCUUUUUUUUUUAUAUAUUUUAUAUUUUUAUAGCCCCACCUAACUAUUAGGUUUAAAAUUGUUGCUAAUACCUGAUAUCCAUUAUGCUUGAUAAGCUCCUUUAUCCUAUCAACAAUGUAAAGAAACCCAUCUUCAUCAAAGUAACAAAGAUCCCCAGUUUUCAGCCAACCAUCCUCAUUAAUCAUCGCAGCCGUAGCCACCUCAUUCCCCAAAUACCCUUUCAUCACAGCCCCACUUUUCAACCACAACUCCCCUUCUUUAUACGGCGGCAAUGCCGCCCCACUCUCACAAUCCACCACCUUAGCACAAAAACUCGGCACCAGCAUCCCGGACGCACCCGAAUGUGUCAUGGCUUGCUCAUUCGUAGGGAAAAAAGUAGCCGCACCGCAACUCUCAGUUAGUCCAUACCCUUGCCUUAGCUCCACCCAAGGAAACUUUUCCCUAAACCCCUCACCCAAUUCUUUACUCAAUGGUGCAGCCCCUGUGCCCACUCUUCUCAGCGACGUCAAGUCGUAGCCGCAGUUCCCGUACUUCACAAGCCCAAGGAUCACCGGAGGAACUGCCGCAAUGUUGGCAACUUGGUAAGUUUGUAUUGACUGGAGCAUUGCUUGGUAGUCAAAUUUUCGCAUUAGUAUUGUGGUAUUGCCCGAGCAGAACAAGCCCAGAGCAAAAAACACAAGGCCAUAGAUGUGAAACAUGGGGAUCAAACAUAAAAACACAUCAUUGUGGGACAAUGAUAUUUCUACGGACCAUUUCAAAAGUGUCAGUAUAGAUAUGAAAUUUGAAUGUGUGAGUAUUACACCUUUACUUGUCCCAGUAGUCCCUGAAGAAUAUAAAAUUGCUGCAGUGUCUGAUUGAGUUAUGUUAAUUUUUGGUAAUUUUAAAGGUUCACAGCAAUCAAUAAGCUCUUCAAUGGAAAUUGUAGUGUCAUUUGUUGGCCCUGUUGUGAGGGUAGGAAUUCCUGUUGAUAAUAAUUUGUGCAUUUCUUCCGGG